AUUGAACGCUGGCGGCAGGCCUAACACAUGCAAGUCGAGCGGCAGCGGAAAGUAGCUUGCUACUUUGCCGGCGAGCGGCGGACGGGUGAGUAAUGUCUGGGAAACUGCCUGAUGGAGGGGGAUAACUACUGGAAACGGUAGCUAAUACCGCAUAACGUCGCAAGACCAAAGAGGGGGACCUUCGGGCCUCUUGCCAUCAGAUGUGCCAGAUGGGAUUAGCUAGUAGGUGGGGUAACGGCUCACCUAGGCGACGAUCCCUAGCUGGUCUGAGAGGAUGACAAGCCACACUGGAACUGAGACACGGUCCAGACUCCUACGGGAGGCAGCAGUGGGGAAUAUUGCACAAUGGGCGCAAGCCUGAUGCAGCCAUGCCGCGUGUAUGAAGAAGGCCUUCGGGUUGUAAAGUACUUUCAGCGGGGAGGAGGGUGUUGAGGUUAAUAACCUCAGCAAUUGACGUUACCCGCAGAAGAAGCACCGGCUAACUCCGUGCCAGCCGCCGCAGUAAAAC
rnacentral:rRNA from 1 species